UCAUUUUCUUCUUCUUGCUCUGACUUCUCUCUACUUUUCCACCACUUCCCACCAUUGAAAUUUCAAAUAGGUAGUGUCCUUUAGUUCACAGAGUUGAGAGCUUUCCCUUCAUCCGAUUAGAUUUUCGUUUUGGACGGGUAAGAAAGUAUAUGAUUAAAGUGACAGUACGGUUCAUGAACGUAAUUCCAUGAUCCUCAAGGAGGGGAUACAUGGUAGUGUCCUGGUAGUGUGUAGAAUGAUUGCAUGGUAGCUCAGUCUUGGGGGUUUUCCUGACGCUCCAAUGGUCUUUCAUUCUCAAGUAGAGAGGAUUGAUCCAUGUGGUGAGAGGAGUAGCAGGAGGUCCUAGUCUUGGAGGCUUCCAGUAUGUUUCAGGGCGCGGAACAGACUAACCUCGUGAGUGUGGUAGGGUGGAACCCAUUGUCAACGGCUUUGCAAAGCAGUAGAGGCCACCACGAGUGCAUAACCCGCCAUAGCUCGGUAAUCAUUCUGGUCCGAACGAGUCGGUUUAUAAAGCAACGAGUCAAGUCUAGUUUGUGACAUGUUCCUUUGUAUGGUUUAACUUGCUUGGCUUAAAGUACUUAUGUGUUGAAUUGUUUACUUUAAUAUAGUAUGCUUGCUUGUGAAACUAGCUCACCCUUGCUUGUGUGUUUGUGCUUUGUUUGGGUAUGUUUCCUGUUGCAAUGAUCAUCCUAAAUUGGAUGUGAGCAGAUGAAGAGGAGGUGUCUGUGAAGCAAGCGCUGGAAGAAGGUGAUGUUGCAGCUUAGUAUGUCUAGGAUCUUGAUUAGUAGUAUUAUUCUGAUGAUAAUUCACAAUGGUCCUUUAUGUUUAAGAGACCAACUCUGAUUUUAUUUUGGAUGACUGUAACCAAUAUAGUCUGUUAUAUGUCUCUAACUGCUUUCCAAUAUUAUAACCGAAUGACGU
rnacentral:sRNA from 1 species